rnacentral:lncRNA from 1 species
GCACGACUUGUCUGCACGAAGUGCGAGGUACUCAGUCUAUGUGCACAUCACAUCAUGUGUAGACGGCAUAUGGCUCCAUAUGCUCAGUGCCACUAGCACAUGUUGUUCCUUAAGGGAAGUGCACCACCAUUUAGUCGGCAUGUCGCUGCUAGUUGGGAGGCAUAUGCCAUCCCUUGGCCAGUUGUCCCUGAUCUUCAUGCUGUCAUCGUGUCACUAUCGUCUUAUCGGCUGUCCAUUAAUCACAUCUGUUAUCGUCGCAUCGCG